AACGAACGCUGGCGGCAUGCCUAACACAUGCAAGUCGAACGAGACCUUCGGGUCUAGUGGCGCACGGGUGCGUCACGCGUGGGAACCUGCCCUUAGGUUCGGAAUAACUCCCCGAAAGGGGUGCUAAUACCGGAUAAUGUCUUCGGACCAAAGAUUUAUCGCCUUUGGAUGGGCCCGCGUUGGAUUAGCUAGUUGGUAGGGUAAAAGCCUACCAAGGCGACGAUCCAUAGCUGGUCUGAGAGGAUGACCAGCCACACUGGGACUGAGACACGGCCCAGACUCCUACGGGAGGCAGCAGUGGGGAAUAUUGGACAAUGGGCGAAAGCCUGAUCCAGCAAUGCCGCGUGAGUGAUGAAGGCCUUAGGGUUGUAAAGCUCUUUUACCCGGGAUGAUAAUGACAGUACCGGGAGAAUAAGCUCCGGCUAACUCCGUG
rnacentral:rRNA from 1 species